CAGUAUGGGCCAUAGUGCAAAAUACUGUGCAUACAGUAUGUUCUGCUGCAAUGGACCCAUAAGUAAAAUUGUAGAUUUUUGUUUAGUGCAGAGAAAUGAAGCUGGUAGCAGCCCAGCAAUGGAGUAUCUGGCAUUCACAAAGGCAUUGGAAGGGCUUUUACAGGAUGGUUUGAGUGUGUCAACCUUUAUUUCAGAUCGUCACACUUCUAUUUCAAAACACAUGAAGGAGAAGCUUCCUAAAAUAACCCACUACUUUGACUUGUGGCACUUGGCAAAGUAAAAGUCAAUAAAAUUCUUAAAAAAUUGGGACAGAAAAAGGUUGUCAGGAGCUCCU